UGAUACCACAUUGUUUAUUAGGACUUCGUUCAGCUGCUCCCCGUUCACUUGAAGCUCUGGCCACUUGAGAAUCUACGAGAACACAGAGUUUGGGUGCACCUUUAUGGUAUUCCUCCUAAAGGACCAGGGUUUAGUGCCGAGGGACUUGAUCAGAGGAAAAAGUGAAAGCAGCUGCCCCUUGGUCCUGGAGGAACUGACUGUUGGCUUGGGCAAUACACUUCCCAAAAGUUUACAGAACACUGGGCCCCUUCAUACCUAGAUAUAAUGUAGCUCAAGAGCAGGCUCUGCAGCGAGAACCUUUGAGCGUGUGUGUGAUUGUCCUUUCAGAGACUUCAUCAUGCAAGUGAACAGCAGUUGCCCAGAAAAGAACUCUCCGGAGGCCAAGGAAGUAACAGGUGGAAGCGGAGGCGCAUGCAGCUCUGCAGAUUAAACCUUGACCUGUGUGGCCAUUUCUGCUACGGGGGGACCGGUACCACCUCGCUGCUUGCCCCAAGGAAGAGCGCUGCCUACCUGGGCAGGUGCUGAGCAUCAGGAUAACUGGAGGCUGCAGAGGGAUUUUUCAGUUCCUGAAUUGUAGAGCAAGCAUAAGCUAUUCAGAAAGAUCCAGCCACUGCUUUAAGCGUUCUCCCAGAUGUGGGAGCCCCCAACUGCCCUGCAAAAAACCCUGCUGCCACCAGCCCUUGAGCAGGAAGCUCUCCUCCCUUUGCUUCGGCACUGCUGGGCCACGUGUGCUCUCAAGGAUGGGUCCAUCUGAUUUCCAGACCUGCUAACACAUGGGUCUACACCUCUAGCCCACAUUUUGGGGAAAGAUAAGUGAUUCUGGGAGACAUCUCCAUCCUGUGUAGCCCCCAAAAAUCUAAAGAAGAGGUAGUCACACCUCAUUCAGUCCCUCUGCUCAUCGUGCUGGCUUCAGCCUGCCACAUGCUGAGAUACCUGACUGUUGGUCUGGAUUGGGCCAUUGUGUUUAU